GCCGUCUGCUCCAGCCCCCUCAGCCCUCUAGUCUUCCGGGUAAUCAUCUCAUCUCAAUUCUCAAGUUCCUGCAUUUCCCUAUUUUGUCUCUGCAAAUGAAAACGGAUGUUAAUCUUCUGAAUUACGCAUCGUUCAGUGCUCAAACGGCGAUUGCCUCUGCUCACCCUGCCGCGACAAGCUCCCGGCGGUCGAGCGCCUCGCCACGCAGCGCUGCCUCAGCAUGGAGCGCGUCGUGGACAACAUCUUCGUCCCCUGCAAGCACGGCUGCGACGCC
rnacentral:lncRNA from 1 species